rnacentral:rRNA from 1 species
AUUGAACGCUGGCGGCAUGCCUUACACAUGCAAGUCGAACGGUAACAGGUCUUCGGAUGCUGACGAGUGGCGAACGGGUGAGUAAUACAUCGGAACGUGCCCGAUCGUGGGGGAUAACGAAGCGAAAGCUUUGCUAAUACCGCAUAAGAUCUACGGAUGAAAGCAGGGGACCGCAAGGCCUUGCGCGAACGGAGCGGCCGAUGGCAGAUUAGGUAGUUGGUGGGAUAAAAGCUUACCAAGCCGACGAUCUGUAGCUGGUCUGAGAGGACGACCAGCCACACUGGGACUGAGACACGGCCCAGACUCCUACGGGAGGCAGCAGUGGGGAAUUUUGGACAAUGGGCGCAAGCCUGAUCCAGCCAUGCCGCGUGCAGGAUGAAGGCCUUCGGGUUGUAAACUGCUUUUGUACGGAACGAAAAGACUCUGGUUAAUACCUGGGGUCCAUGACGGUACCGUAAGAAUAAGCACCGGCUAACUACGUGCCAGCAGCCGCCGUAAUAC